GAGUUUGAUCAUGGCUCAGGAUGAACGCUAGCGGCAGGCCUAAUACAUGCAAGACGAACGGUAAGUUGAGUAGCAAUACUUAGCCAAGAGUGUCGUACGGGUGCGUAACACGUAUGCAACCUACCCUAUACAGGAGGAUAGCCUAGGGAAACCUGGAUUAACCCUUCAUAGUAUUAUUGGAUGGCAUCAUUUGAUAAUUAAAACUGAGGUGGUAUAGGAUGGGCAUGCGUCUGAUUAGUUAGUUGGCGGGGUAAUGGCCCACCAAGACGAUGAUCAGUAGGGGUUCUGAGAGGAAGAUCCCCCACACUGGCACUGAGAUACGGGCCAGACUCCUACGGGAGGCAGCAGUAGGGAAUAUUGGUCAAUGGAUGCAAGUCUGAACCAGCCAUGCCGCGUGCAGGAAGAAGGCCUUCUGGGUUGUAAACUGCUUUUGCCAGGGGAUAAAAUUUCCAUGCGUGGAAAACUGAAGGUACCUGGUGAAUAAGCCACGGCUAACUACGUG
rnacentral:rRNA from 1 species